AGAGAGCUAUUGUACACAAAACUGAAAGGGGCUUGGUAGUGAAAUAUUUACCUGUUUAAAAAAGUGAUAAAAUAUUCAGAAUUAUUGUGAUGGUUCACGGCACGACUGACACCUGACUGAUUUGUGUGGCCUGCGUGUAAUGCAUAUAUCUCAUAUGAAAUCAAAACCUUAUAGAUUUCAGUGCAUCAGAUGACUAAUAAUCCAUGAAAAUAAAUUACAGGAAGGAUAAGUUAUUCAGUCAUCUUUUUUUUUUCUAUGAUGCACAUUCACGCUAUAUAAUGACACUGCUAUGAGGAGAUAUUUAAGGCACCUACUUGACAACAUGUGAUCACCAUCGUUGCCACAUGUUGUUGUACAUACUUCAAAGACAACAGACAACAGACUGAUACCAAGAAACCUGAGGAAGAGAUGAGCUGAAACAUAAACUUAAUCUUUAUGUUCUAAGGAAAGCAUCCAAAAAAACAUGGGAGUUUUAAAUGACUCAAAGGGAAGAUCUAGCCAUCAGCUGGAUUUUAAUUCAGUCAACAAUGGACGUGUUUUAUGACAUUCAGUUUGAUUUCUAUUAAGUAUUGGGAAAGACGAAUGACAUAACCGAAACAGAAACUUCAAGAUGACUCCGUCAUGACACACAGUCAUGUCGGAGUUAUCCUCCUUUACAACCAACUGUAAUGGAUCCAAGGACACCACCGUUACAUUCAUAAAGCAAUGAUUGCUAAAGAUCGACUUUGUCAAUGUUACAAAGAAGGAAACCAAUGCCAUAAAUUCCUAUGAAGAAAUUAUGUCUGACUGAGGAUUACCAAGCAAUUUUGUGCAGUGGUGUGAAGAAUAUCAGUAAAAGUCCAUUAUCUGGGCAAGGUUGGGAAUCAGGAGUAGUGGCCCGUCGUCCAAUUCUUGUUCGUUUUGUUUAAAUUAAUUUUAGUGUCCCAUCCAGAAUUUUUCAACUCUCUAAAGUUACUACCAACAAUUUUCAAUGGACACAGAAGAAGACAUAACAGUGGAUCUUAUGGGGCAACAGUGAUUCAAUCUGAUGGCCUAAUUACGUUUGCUUCCGCUCGGAAGUAAUUACUUCAGACACUGAACAAUUAUUGACGGAUUAGCCAGAUAUUGUCAAGCAUUCACUGAUGUAACAUACAAACCUCUCCG